AAGAAUGUGGCUGAUGAAAGCGGUGUGCUGUAAACACAUUAAUGAUUAAUAUCCUUUCUUU
rnacentral:tRNA from 1 species